UAUAGUUAAAUAGGAGACUAUCCCUUUUGUAAAUUUGGUUUGCCUACCAAAUACAUUUCUAUACCUAUGUGAUGUGUUUUCCAUUGUCAUGCAAGCAUAUGAGUAAUUAAGCCAUGUUCUUUGUUAUGCACAUUGAGUAUGGGUUGAUGUUUUGCAUUGCCACAUCCUUAAUUCAAGUAACAGCAAACUAGUGCUUUUCAUGGAUAAGAUAACAUUUUUCUGGAUAUUACUGCUUAAUAGUGACAUAAGUUUGUUAUUAAGACACAUAAAUGGGUUUGUCAUUCUUGUAUCUGAUGAAUAUUCAGUCAAUGAGAAUGCAAUUAAUUUUCUGUUUCUUUAAUGAGAAAUGGAAUUUUAUUGGAAUUGAAGUGACCAAUAGAGAGGGCCUUGAGUGCCCUUUUAGAAAAAUAGCGACUUUGGCUGCUCUUGCUAAUCUAGGAGGAGAGAAAGGCCUAGGCCCAAAUCUUUUUCAAUGGCUUUUUGAUGAAGGUGUUGGUUGUUAGUUUGUAGAGAGAUGAUAGCAUUCCUUCUGGAGGUUUUUGUGAUCAGGUCUUUUGAUAAAAGCCUUAAUGCUAUCUUUUUGGUUUUGGUACUAAAGAAAGGAGGGAUUGAGGACAUUAGGGAAGGUUAAUCAGAUUUGGGGGUGGGGUUUGGUGUUACUUUGCAAACUUUUGGCAAAGAUUCUGACCUAUAGGUUAAACUUCAUUAGCAAGGCAGUCUCAAAGUCAUAGCACUCUUUUUGUAAAGUGUAGAAGGUAGAUAGAUGCUGGAUGUGGCUUUGAUUACCCUAUUGAUUCUAGAAUUAAGAGUUGGAGAAUGUGGGUUGCUUUGUUAAGUUGGAUACUGAAAAUGCCUAAGAUCAUAUAUACUGUUAAUUUUUGCUAUUGUUAAUGCACAAGAUGAGUCUUGUGCUAACUUGGUUGGGUUGAUUAAGAUUUCAUAUCUCUAUAGUCAGGUUGUCAGUGAUGGUAAAUGGGUCUUCUGCAAGUGUUCUUUUUCUCUUUGAGCUCUAGAAGUCUAAGAUAGAAAGACCCUGUUUCCCCUUACUUGUUUGUUCUGGUCAUGGAUGCUGCCCCUCAACUAGAUGGUGUGGAGACCUCUCAUCUUAUCUUCAUGGAUGGUACCUUUCUCUUUUGUGAAGCUUGCCUAGAGCAGUCAUUGUAUUCAAGUGGGUUCCCUUGUUCUUUGAAUUAAUCUACAGAAAAGUGAGCUUAUCCCAGUGAGAAAGUGCUGGAAGUAGAGCAGUUGGCAUCUUUGCUUGCUGUGGGAGAAAAUUGCUAACCAUGUAUUUGAGCUUGCCGUUCGAGGCUCCUUUAAAAUCCUGUCCUACUUAGGAUAUUAUGGAGAGAAGAUUUAAGAGGAGCUUGGUUUUUUGUAAGAAGCUGUCCUACUUAGGAUCCUGUCCUGAGGGGUAGAUUAAUACUUAUUAAAAUUUAAAAGUACUCUUUCUAGCCUGUUGAUUUAUUUUUGUUUGAGAUUCGUAGGAUGGUAAGAAUCCACUUGGAGAAGAAUCAAUGAGAUAUUUUAUGGGGUGGUCACUUUUUAAGUAAGAAGUUGAAUUUAGUGAAUUGGGAGACUAUUUUUUGGGAUAAAUGUAAUGGGGUUUGGGUAUGAGAAGAUUGUUUGCUUUGAACAAGGCUUACAUGGACAGUGGUGGUAUAGGUGUUCUAAUGAGUGGGAUUGUCUCCGAGGUUGAUACAUUUAGGGUACAUUUGGUGAGAUAGAUGGCAGGUGGUGUUCUAGAGGGGUAUGAAUUAUAAAAGGCCUUUGUAUUAAGCUUGUGGAGAAGCUAUUACAAGAGGGUUGGAAAGAGUUUUGGUAUAGAACUCGUAUCUUAGGAGGGAAUGGUAGAAACACAAGUUUUGGAUGGAUGGGUGGUGGGAAGACUCCUUGGAAAAGGCAUUUUCCUGUUACAAGUUGAUCUUUUUGUGAAAUGCAUUUUCUCUUCAGGAUAGUUUCUCUUGCAAAUGCUAGAGGUA